rnacentral:lncRNA from 1 species
CUCGUGUGCAAUCAUGAUUAGAUAGCAAACAACCAUACCAGCUGCAAACAGUAUUUCUAACAGUAUAGCCCACCAAGCACCGUCUCGGAGAUAAUCAAAUCCUACUAUCAAAACUAAACAGAAAGAUAUAAUACAAACGAUAAUGGAAUAUGUGGCAUACAGAGCUGCUCUGCCUGCUGGUACUGUUUUAAGAAUUGGAAGAUGGCGUAGUUUUUCUUUCAACUUUCCAAAAUCGUCAUGACUUUUGGAUUUUUUAAUUAUUGCACUUUCUUCAUUAACACCGGAAGCUGCGGUAUCUAAAUCUUCCUCUUCCGGUUUCAAUUUAAACUGGCAGUCUCCAACAGACUGGUACCGAACGAUUAUAACAGCAGCAGCUACGAUAGUGUACGCAGACAGUGUUCCAAUCGACAUAAACUCUACAAGUGUUUCGAUUUCAAACAUCAGUGACAUAAACGCUGAUAUCAAUCCAAAGACGGCAAUUCCCACGACGGGUGUUUGUGUUCUUGGAUGAACAUAGCCUAAAACAGAGAACAACAAACCAUCUGAAGCCAUUGCAUAAAUUGCCCUUGUGACGGAGAAAGCAGAUCCUAACAGUGAAGUUGUUAGUCCAAAGAGAGUACCAAAUGCAACAAUUACUUUUAUCCAAUGAGCUCCACGUGUUGCAAAGGCCAUCGGAAAUGCUGCUGUGGGUGAUACUUCAGUGUAAGGUACCAUGAGGGUUAAAGAAAUUGUUGCUAGCACAUAAAGUAGGGAUACGAUAGACAACGCAAGAAAAGUGCCGAAUGGGAUAGACUUUUCGGGCUUUUUCGCUUCUUCCCCAGCAACUGCAAUUCCUUCAAAACCUACGAAUGCAAAGAAGCACGUAGCUGUACCAGAUAGUGUUCCUCCGAAACCAUGCGGGAAGAAUCCGCCUCUUUUUGGAUCAGUCCAGUUUGCAAGAUCAGCGAAGUAAAAUCCAGCGCAAAUGACGAAUAUUAUAACAAUUGCGUUGAUUAAAGUAAAAACGUUGUUGAAGUUCAUUGUAAACUUUGCUCCAGAUGCUAUUACAAUAAAAAUGAUAAUGGAUAUUGCGAAUGCGAUAAAAUCGGGAUAAUCAGAGAUCCACUUGGAAUCUUUUCCUAAGUGUCCGAUAUGUUCUAUAGUUCCAUUUCUGAUAGCACCAUUAAAUAAAGAAUCAAUUGCACCACUCCAGGCUCGGGCUACAGAUGAUGCCCCUAGUAAAUGUUCUAGAAUAAUAUUCCAUCCAAUUAUGAAACCCAUAAGUUCUCCAAUAGCAACAAACGUGUACGUGUAUGCCGAUCCCGCUUUUGGUACUCUGGCGCCAAAUUCCGAAUAACAAAGGGCAGCUAGCAAAGCAACAAAGCCCGCAAAGAGGUAGGACAAAAUAGCAGACGGUCCAGCUAAAUCCUUGACAACGGUUCCAGUUAGAACAUAGACACCAGCACCUAUCAUGUGACCAAUUCCAAGUAACGUGAGAUCAAAGGUUGUUAGGCAUCUUUUUAAUGGGGUCUCGUACAUAUCAUCUGUGAGUUUUUUCUU